UCGACCUGAGAUCAGGCGGGAUU
rnacentral:rRNA from 1 species